GACGAACGCUGGCGGCGUGCUUAACACAUGCAAGUCGAACGAUGAAGCCGGAGCUUGCUCCGGUGGAUUAGUGGCGAACGGGUGAGUAACACGUGAGCAAUCUGCCCUUGACUCUGGGAUAACUGCGGGAAACUGUAGCUAAUACCGGAUACGACACCUUGGGGCAUCCCAGGGUGUGGAAAGAAUUUCGGUCAAGGAUGAGCUCGCGGCCUAUCAGCUAGUUGGUGAGGUAAUGGCUCACCAAGGCGACGACGGGUAGCCGGCCUGAGAGGGUGACCUGCCACCCUGGAGCUGAGACCCGGUCCAUACUCCUACGGGAGGCAGCAGUGGGGAAUAUUGCAAAAUGGGCGAAAGCCGGAUGCAGCAACGCCGCGUGAGGGAUGAAGGCCUUCGGGUUGUAAACCUCUUUUAGCAGGGAAGAAGCGAAAGUGACGGUACCUGCAGAAAAAGCACCGGCUAACUACGUGCCAGCAGCCGCCGUAA
rnacentral:rRNA from 1 species